rnacentral:rRNA from 1 species
AGCUCCAAUAGCGUAUAUUAAAGUUGUUGCGGUAAAAAGCUCGUAGUUGGAUUUCUGUUGAGGGCAACCGGUCCACACCAUGUGUGCGCAUCUGGGCUGACCUCGGCAUCCUAUCCGGAAUGGCAUUGUGCUUCAUUGCGUGAUGUUGGUUCGGGUACUUUUACUUGAGGAAAUUAGAGUGUUCACGGCAGGCAGUCGCCAGAAUACAUUAGCAUGGAAUAAUACUAUAGGAUUUCGAUUCUAUUUUGUUGGUUUCUAGAAUUGAGAUAAUGAUUAAUAGGGACAAUUGGGGGCAUUCGUAUCAAUGCGUCAGAGGUGGAAUUCUUGGAUUGCAUUGCGACGAACUACUGCGAAAGCAUCUGCCAAGG